rnacentral:rRNA from 1 species
AGUGAACGCUGGCGGUAGGCCUAACACAUGCAAGUCGAACGGCAGCACAGUAAGAGCUUGCUCUUACGGGUGGCGAGUGGCGGACGGGUGAGGAAUACAUCGGAAUCUGCUUUUUCGUGGGGGAUAACGUAGGGAAACUUACGCUAAUACCGCAUACGACCUACGGGUGAAAGCAGGGGAUCUUCGGACCUUGCGCGAUUGAAUGAGCCGAUGUCGGAUUAGCUAGUUGGCGGGGUAAAGGCCCACCAAGGCGACGAUCCGUAGCUGGUCUGAGAGGAUGAUCAGCCACACUGGAACUGAGGCACGGUCCAGACUCCUACGGGAGGCAGCAGUGGGGAAUAUUGGACAAUGGGCGCAAGCCUGAUCCAGCCAUACCGCGUGGGUGAAGAAGGCCUUCGGGUUGUAAAGCCCUUUUGUUGGGAAAGAAAAGCAGCAGGUUAAUACCCCGCUGUUCUGACGGUACCCAAAGAAUAAGCACCGGCUAACUUCGUG